rnacentral:rRNA from 1 species
UACAUAGGGUGCGAGCGUUGUUCGGAAUUAUUGGGCGUAAAGGGCGCGUAGGCGGUGCGGUAAGUCACCUGUGAAAUCUCCUGGCUCAACUGGGAGCUUGCAGGCGAAACUGCCGUGCUGGAGUGUGGGAGAGGUGCGUGGAAUUCCUGGUGUAGCGGUGAAAUGCGUAGAUAUCAGGAGGAACACCUGUGGCGAAAGCGGCGCACUGGACCACACCUGACGCUGAGGCGCGAAAGCUAGGGGAGCAAACAGG